rnacentral:rRNA from 1 species
GACGAACGCUGGCGGCGUGCCUAAUACAUGCAAGUAGAACGCUGAAGGAGGAGCUUGCUCUUCUGGAUGAGUUGCGAACGGGUGAGUAACGCGUAGGUAACCUGCCUGGUAGCGGGGGAUAACUAUUGGAAACGAUAGCUAAUACCGCAUAAAAUUGAUUAUUGCAUGAUAGUCAAUUAAAAGGUGCAAUUGCAUCACUACCAGAUGGACCUGCGUUGUAUUAGCUAGUUGGUGAGGUAACGGCUCACCAAGGCAACGAUACAUAGCCGACCUGAGAGGGUGAUCGGCCACACUGGGACUGAGACACGGCCCAGACUCCUACGGGAGGCAGCAGGAGGGAAUCUUCGGCAAUGGACGGAAGUCUGACCGAGCAACGCCGCGUGAGGGAAGAAGGGUUUCGGAUCGUAAAGCUCUGUUGUAAGAGAAGAACGAGUGUGAGAGUGGAAAGUUCACACUGUGACGGUAUCUUACCAGAAAGGGACGGCUAACUACGUG